CGUAACAAGGUAGCUGUAGAUGAACCUGCUGCUGGAUCAUUA
rnacentral:rRNA from 1 species